rnacentral:rRNA from 1 species
AUUGAACGCUGGCGGCAUGCUUUACACAUGCAAGUCGAACGGCAGCGCGGGGGCAACCCUGACGGCGAGUGGCGAACGGGUGAGUAAUAUAUCGGAACGUACCCAGAAGUGGGGGAUAACGUAGCGAAAGUUACGCUAAUACCGCAUACGAUCUACGGAUGAAAGUGGGGGACCUUCGGGCCUCAUGCUUGUGGAGCGGC